rnacentral:lncRNA from 10 species
UCCAGUUUCCAUCCAAUUUAGUAUUUUGUUUUGCAAAAAAAAUCUGCAUUGUAUUUCCUCCCACUCAGGAACAUCCGAUCUCUGGUUUCAGGGUGCGUUUUACAGGCCAGGAAAGGUGAUUCCAGGUCGGGAAAGGCCAUUCCAGGAAGAUUGCGUUAUUGUCCACUCUCCUGCAUCAUCGUCUUCACCAAAAAAGCUGAAAGCGACGAAACGCCUACCCAGAGGGCAAAUCCAGCUUCCGCUCUCCUCAGAGGUACUCAGUCCAGUUAUACAUCAAUGUGAGAAUAGUCCCAGCACUUAUCACUUGUAAACUCUUUUAAUUGAUUAGCUAUUAAAUGGCAUAAGAUCAAUCCAAGUUUAAACCUGUAUAUCAAAUCCACAUUCCACAAACUCUGUAGUGAAUUAUGUAUUUUAAAACAUGUAGCUUUACUGGCUAAUGUAAUCGUCUGCGAAUCUUCCCAUCUGUUCUUCAAGUCACUGUACCUGGAGGCGCACACUAGCACAGACCCAGACACUCAAUUCUGGGGCUGCAUUAUUAUCCUGUACAUUAAAAAAUCUUGAAAGGGUGCUUGUUCACACCUGCCACCUUUCUAGUGAGUCUCUUGUACUUGCUAAUAGAGAAAUAACAUACCCAGGUUCCAUCCUUUUUUUUUGAGAUGAAGUUUUGAUUUCGGCUCACCGCAACGUCUGCCUCCCAGGUUCAAGCAAUUUUCCUGCCUCAGCCUCCCGAGUAGCUGGGAUGACACGUGCACGCCACCACACCUGGCUAAUUUUUGUAUUUUUAAUAGAGACGGGGUUUCGCCAUGUUGGCCAGGCUGGUCUCAAAUUCCUGACCUCAGGUGAUCUGCCUGCCUCGGCCUCCCAAAGUGCUGGGAUUACAGGUGAGCCCCUGUGCCAGUCCCAAGAUUUCAUUCUUAACCAUCAGUAAUUCUCCCAAAGCAGAAAAGCCACGGAGACGUUACAUUUUGAGCAACAAAGUUUCAGAACAGCUGGCUGGAUGAAGAAGGGAGCACUAUUCUGCAGCCCCCAUGGAACAGGAAAAGCCGCUGUUCAGACACCUGCAGAAAUGCCUGACUCUGCCCACCUCACGUCCACAUAAACCUGAAAAAAUGGGAGAGGAGUAGCUAGCUGUCUGCCCCUGGAAGCCCCUCCAUUUCCCUUGUGCAUCCUGGCCCCUCUCUCUCUGAGCUCAGGCCCUUCCAUGCUCCUCUCCCGCCCCACAGAGGCCCCCUCUGUCCUGGCCCCUCUCUCUCUGAGCUCAGGCCCUUCCAUGCUCCUCUCCCGCCCCACAGAGGCCCCCUCUGCCGUUGCCUUUUUCUUCCUCUCCCACGUUCUGUUCUCACGUACUCUGAACCCCACGCGGCACCCAGGGCUCCCCGCGUUCUCUGAGCCCCAUGCCCGCCCCACCCGGCACCCAGGGCUCCCCUAGGGUCACAGUGUUGUCUGUUUCCGGGUUCACACUGGGGAGUCCUUCACAAAGGCAGACUGGGCCGACUCUGAUGUAAGAUCAAGUUCUCUGCUGUCCCCGUUGUUCCAGAAUAUGGGAUUCUACCCUUAGAAGCGAUAAGCUUUCUGAGAAAACGCCUUCUGGGUCAGCUCCAAGUUCAGCUAUCCCGAGGUUCCAAGGCUGUCUGCCCACCCAGACCCAAGGUGUCCAAUCCUUAGGGGUGACCCUCGGGCCAACACCAAUCACAGCUCUGGGGACCCCCACGUGUCAGCCAUGGCAAAAUGAACCCCCAACACAGCAGGGGAGGGAAGGAGGAGGCGGGGCUCACAGAGCAGAGAGCCAUGGAGAGCUCCGGGCCGAAGGGGACUUGGGCCUGGGAGAGAAGAGACAGCCAGGCGGCGAGGGACUUGUCCUGUGGAGGCCUCCCCAGGAGGCGAGGGUGGGGGGACUCCUGCUGGAGGCGGCCGGCAGAUCAGCCUUCCUUAUCCACGUCCUCGAAGUGAUCCCCGUUUGACAUUUGGAAAUGACUUUCAUCUGCUGGGUCCUCCUCGGUUUGACGUGCAAUUGCUUUUCCCGAAGCUUUCUCCUCUUGUAACACCCAGCUCCUGCAUGCCGUGGCGGCUCCAGCCAUCAUUCCUCAUCCCACCACCCCGCGCAGCGUCUUGCCUCCUUUUAUGCCGGUGUACGUGUUGUGUUAAGAGCUGGGCUUUGCCAUUUUUGACAGGCUAAUGCAUUUCACCACAGAUAAUGCCAUUCACCACAGAGGCGCAUUCUCUCUCGUGCCCAUCAAGGCAGAGGCUGAGAAGAAGGUCUGCUUUACAGCAACGGCCUGAGGACCCUCGGCCCCAAGAGGACAUGAGGAUUCACCUUUUGGAACCCCAGGGAGGACGCAGCUCUACACCCUGAGGCCACCAGUGCCCCCCAGGAUACCACCUCCACGCACCCGUCUCCUCCACUCCAUCAGAACACCUCUGCUCCUGACCUUCCUUUCCCCAGGUAAGAACACAAGUUCUUUUGUUUAAAGUGUAACUUCAUAUUCUGAUAUUAAUAAAACUUAUGAUAUU